AUGGAAUCCUCCCACAAUCCCCACUCCAUAGAGGAGGAAAGUGAGGCACAGAGCAGGCUCACACAGCUAGUAAGCGGUGGAGCAAGAUUUGAACUCCAGCCUGUCUGUAUUGACUAUGCCAUACUCCCUCUCCAUAAGGUACAUAGACACCACAGUUUUGUUGAUAGGACAGAGAGCUCAAAAACGGUAACUCCUACCAAAAAUGGCAACGGACAAGAGCCAGAGUCCCAAUUCAGUACUGCGUCCGAUACCAGCCCGUCCUCGUCCCACUGGGGAUUAACACGGCUCGCAGUUCUCCUUCCCCCGCACCACGUCCCACCCCAUCCUUCUCCCAGGGCAGCAGCAGCGGUCCCCUCCAUUCUCCACUCCUCCACCCCCCCAGUUUCAGAACCCGGGGUUUGGGGGGUCCGCCCCCGGCCCGCUUUAACCUUGCUUGUCCUAGAGCGGCCUUCACUCACAGAGCGCCCUGAAGCCGGUAGUGCCUCCGUGAGUGUCUGGUGCCCCAGAGGGGCAGGGAGGCCCUACCCGGGGCUUGGGAGGCUGGGUGGGUGGGGUGAGGCUGUCGGGAUGGGAAGGGGCGGGGCCGCGGGCCGGAUUGUUACCGCGGGUGCCAUAGCAAUCGGGUCACGUGGCAGCCUCGCCCUACCCCUGGAGCUGGCGGCGGGAGGUCCUGGGGCCCGGAAGCUGCAAGUUGGCCGGAGAGUUUCCAACAGAACCCUCGGCCUUUCGGCUCGCCCCUUGGACGCCUUUCCCUCUUCAAAACCCUCCUUCACAUCUAUUCUUCAUUUUAAAGAUGGGGAAACUGAGGCUCAGAGAAUAGAGCCUGGGCUGGCCCACGAAGCUCCUGGGGCCGACGUGCCCUCGGGGUGUUCUUGGGUGUCUCAGCACGGGGGGGGCCCUACCAGGGGCACGUCUGGCCCUAGAAGGCCGCAGCUGGAGACGCACAGCCGGGACAGCGAGGCUGGGGCGGGGAGAGCACUUGUCCCAGGCAGUAAGGCGCGCUGGCCAAGGAGCCAGGGACCCCACCCAGCACCAGUCUCGCGGGCGGGCCGGCGCGGCGCGCGCUGA
rnacentral:lncRNA from 1 species